rnacentral:rRNA from 1 species
UACGGAGGAUGCGAGCGUUAUCCGGAUUUAUUGGGUUUAAAGGGUGCGCAGGCGGCACGGCAAGCCGGCGGUCAAAUCGCGGGGCUCAACCCCGCCCAGCCGUCGGAACUGCCGGGCUAGAGUGGGCGAGAAGCGCGCGGAAUGCGUGGUGUAGCGGUGAAAUGCAUAGAUAUCACGCAGAACUCCGAUUGCGAAGGCAGCGCACCAGCGCCCUACUGACGCUCAGGCACGAAAGCGUGGGUAUCGAACAGG